UGCACAUGUCUAAUUAGUCAGAAUUUUGUGUCAGAGGAUAUCUUAAUAUCGGAUGAAGUGAAAAUUAAGAAAAGAUUUAUCGUCUUUCCUACUGGGAGUUUGUUAAUGCCCUGUGAUGUUCAACUUCUGAAUCAAAGAAUGUUGUGUAUAAGAAAACUUCCAUGUUUCCUGUUCGUGCUUUGGUCAUUUUUCAGUACUAAUUGUG
rnacentral:misc_RNA from 1 species